UCAAAUUCCAAUGAAACCACUUUUGUCAUCCCUCAUAUGACCAGAGGUAUCCUAGAAAAGUCCAACUCAUAUUUUUAGAGCACUUUUAUUUCCUGCCUUGUUGUGUUGCUUAUUAUGCUUGCUUUCGACGAUAGUUGACGAAGUAGACGGAAUGCUCGGAGUUGGACCAGGGAUAUUUGAAGACCUCAAAGACUUCGUUACAACAGGCAAGCAAUCCUUUGACCAUGUCUAAGAAACCCUUAUUAAGCAUGUCAUAUAUAGCUCCUUAUUAUUGUUGCAUCGGAAUCAUGGUGAGAUGGUGAACCAUGUGGGUUGGUUGCCUUUGUUAUUUCCUCGUUGAUACUUGCAUUGUGCAUGGCCCUACCUUCUUAUGAGGGUUAUGCCGGUGGGAGAAGAUAGGAUGCUAAAGUAGUGCUACACAAUAUGGGACGGGGAUAUGCAUGGUGAUGGAAACAAAGUGAUUUCAAAAGUCUUUUCGAAAACCCCGUCGGGUGCCACUUAUGCCCGAGGGAGAUGAUGAGAUGGGUGACCACUUGAUGACGAAGUGGUGUGCCAAGGAAAGUGUGUGUGGUUAUCAAAACGGAUUGGUCGGAGUUGCGACCGUUAUUCCAACCUUACAUGCGCAACCACUCUACCCUUAUAUGGGAAAGGGCAUUAUUGAGUACCUAGACCGAUACUAGCUAGGGGCCCGCAUUACUAGUGACGGGAGAGUUGUUGGUGCGCUCUCUCAGGACGGGGUCGUUCCAGGUAGGGCGGCCAUGACUGUUUUCACAGGGCACCGGACACACCGUUGGUACCCCGUGCCAGUGGUAUGUGAUAAUUAUGGGAGCGAGGCUCCAAGAAAGUGUUAUGUGAAAAGUUGGGCACGGGGGUUACUGCCAAUCGAGUGGACUCCAUGUUAGUGUCGUCUAGGGAAAGGUAGUGAUCGGGUGCUUACCCCGGGUACUUGAGGUACCGCGGGUCGUGGAUGACACGGAAGUUCCCCGGAUCUAGUGGGUAAAGUGUGCAACCUCUGCAGAGUGUAAAACUAUUCGAAUAGCCGUGUCCACGGUCAAGGACAGUUGGGUAACCGCUCUUGGGAUACGUCCACUUGUUUUCAAACCAGGUGUGUGUGUGAUGAUGGCAAUGACUUGGGUCAAGUCAAGGGACUUGGCAUGAUUGAGAUGGGUUGGUUCCCACUCUGUUUAUGUUAGAUGGGUUGGUGCCCACUCUAUAUAUGUUGAUAUCUGUAACAUGUCCUCAAGGUUACUUGAAUUCUCUUGAUGCAUGCCUUACAAAGUUGUUGAAGAUGUCAUUGCUACUUUUCCCUCUCAUCUCUCUCUUCAACUGAAGACAAGCAAGACAAUAUGUACCAAGGAUUCCAUGUAAGACUCUUGUUAUUCAGCUUCUGUGUGUUCAGUGAGCAAUGAUCUCUGGGAUCACUGUACACGUGCAUUCGGUGAUCACGACUUAUGAGUCGAGGUCCCCACAGAGCUGGUAUCAGAGCCAUCCUGACUGUAGGAAGCCUUAGUUAGCAUGGUCGUUAGUUAGGGUAAAUUUGUUUCCAAAACUACUACUAGUUUUCAAAACUAUCUGUACUUCUCUUCCCUUCUCGGUUUUUCGAAAACUAAGGUAUACUUUCCUUAUUAAACUCUCCCCCUUCAAACCUUUGGUCGCUAGAACCCUUAUGCCCCUGACCACUGGAUUCCUUGCAAUCCUCGUGGAUAAUCUAGGAGGAAGAUGUCUUGCCAGACGUUCACCCAUAUCUUCCGAACACAAGAUUGGCGACAUCACGACAAGACGAUACCAACAGAAGAUACAUCCUCGAGGCAUGAGGACCUGAAGACACAGGAGAUGGUGACACCCUUGACACUGCCCCAAGAUUAUGCAACCUUAGCCUACGAUGAUCAGGGCGUAGAAUAUGCAAGAUCAUGAUAUACAUCGCUAAUAGAGUAACCAUGUCACUACCGUUAUUGUAUCGGCAACCACCGAUGGAUGAGAACCUAGCCAUUUGGUCCGCCUCACCAUAGUGAGCAGGAAAACGGUUCUCCUCAUCCCCCGCUCUUGGUGUCGAAGUUGUCAUCAACGUAACCGACAUGAUGGACCUCUAUUACGCCUUGAUAAUGUCAUUGCAUAGAGGAUUACCUGCAUGGUACCAUCGACGGCUUAGAAGACAAAAAGGGAUCGUCGUGAUUAAGAAGACAAUAGAAGACCAAGUCAAUGCCAGUUAUGAGGAGCCACCUUCACCCCAUCACUUCAACAGGCGGGAAGUUGUUGAAGAAUCUUCAGGCUCAACCCGGAUUGUUUCAUCGAACAACUACAAGAGACGUAGCAACACCUAAGGAAAACCCAGGAGACUGCACGAGGCACAAGGCACGACUAUGGAGUCCAAGAACCCCUAGGGUAGGAUGAGUCGUGUACCCCCUAUGCGCAGUCGAGUCCGUAUGAUGGUUCGAGUAGAACCAUGAUUGUGUGUUGCUUGUUUUUAUUUGUUGUGUUUUGAUAGCAGUCGCCCUUUUUGCCCUAGGCAACAAGUACGCGACCAUAUCACCUGCCUUAUUUUGUUGUUUGUGUUUGGCCCUUUUGGCACUUGUUUGUUUGCACCUGCACUAUAGAACCCCCUUUAGACAUUCCCCUUCUCCAUGCUACUUUUCCCUCUCAUCUCUCUCUUCAACUGAAGACAAGAAGACAAUAUGUACCAAGGAUUCCAUGUAAGACUCUUGUUAUUCAGCUUCUGUGUGUUCAGUGAGCAAUGAUCUCUGGGAUCACUGUACACGUGCAUUCGGUGAUCACGACUUAUGAGUCGGGGUCCCCACAGAGCUGGUAUCAGAGCCAUCCUGACUGUAGGAAGCCUUAGUUAGCAUGGUCGUUAGUUAGGGUAAAUUUGUUUCCAAAACUACUACUAGUUUUCAAAACUAUCUGUACUUCUCUUCCCUUCUCGGUUUUUCGAAAACUAAGGUAUACUUUCCUUAUUAAACUCUCCCCCUUCAAACCUUUGGUCGCUAGAACCCUUAUGCCCCUGACCACUGGAUUCCUUGCAAUCCUCGUGGAUAAUCUAGGAGGAAGAUGUCUUGCCAGACGUUCACCCAUAUCUUCCGAACACAAGAUUGGCGACAUCACGACAAGACGAUACCAACAGAAGAUACAUCCUCGAGGCAUGAGGACCUGAAGACACAGGAGAUGGUGACACCCUUGACACUGCCCCAAGAUUAUGCAACCUUAGCCUACGAUGAUCAGGGCGUAGAAUAUGCAAGAUCAUGAUAUACAUCGCUAAUAGAGUAACCAUGUCACUACCGUUAUUGUAUCGGCAACCACCGAUGGAUGAGAACCUAGCCAUUUGGUCCGCCUCACCAUAGUGAGCAGGAAAACGGUUCUCCUCAUCCCCCGCUCUUGGUGUCGAAGUUGUCAUCAACGUAACCGACAUGAUGGACCUCUAUUACGCCUUGAUAAUGUCAUUGCAUAGAGGAUUACCUGCAUGGUACCAUCGACGGCUUAGAAGACAAAAAGGGAUCGUCGUGAUUAAGAAGACAAUAGAAGACCAAGUCAAUGCCAGUUAUGAGGAGCCACCUUCACCCCAUCACUUCAACAGGCGGGAAGUUGUUGAAGAAUCUUCAGGCUCAACCCGGAUUGUUUCAUCGAACAACUACAAGAGACGUAGCAACACCUGAGGAAAACCCAGGAGACUGCACGAGGCACAAGGCACGACUAUGGAGUCCGAGAACCCCUAGGGUAGGAUGAGUCGUGUACCCCCUAUGCGCAGUCGAGUCCGUAUGAUGGUUCGAGUAGAACCAUGAUUGUGUGUUGCUUGUUUUUAUUUGUUGUGUUUUGAUAGCAGUCGCCCUUUUUACCCUAGGCAACAAGUACGCGACCAUAUCACCUGCCUUAUUUUGUUGUUUGUGUUUGGCCCUUUUGGCACUUGUUUGUUUGCACCUGCACUAUAGAACCCCCUUUAGACAUUCCCCUUCUCCAUGCUACUUUUCCCUCUCAUCUCUCUCUUCAACUGAAGACAAGCAAGACAAUAUGUACCAAGGAUUCCACCUUGGCGACCAACAAGCAUUGAAGACUUUUGCUACAACCUCCUCGACCAAGUGAAACCCCGUAGAGUUAUGUUUAACCCUCCAGAUUAGAGGCCCAUUCCUAGACCCUUCAAGACUCCAUAAGAUACCCCAGCUCGAAUCCUUAACCAUGAGCUUAACCUACGGAAUUGCUAAAGCAUCAGUCAAGCCCCCGUAACCUUGCACAACCAUGGGUCCAUCAUGGGACUAGUGGACAUAGUGAACUAGCACAUUAUCAUCCUGAGAUAGCACCAAACUGACGAUGCCAUAGGGAGGACCAAUUUGAGGAUAUAGGAAUAGAGGAGAAAUGACCUGGUGAGUUAUAGCAAUGACUUGAGGUAUUAUCUGACACUCUUUGGUGGAUUAUAAGGCUACCAUGUUGGUAGGUGAACUUGGUGGGAUCAUGAUUAUAGAGUAGCAUAGCUUCCAUUACCCCGGAGUAAAUUGGAUUUAUAGGACAAUUAUGAUCGCAAGCUGAAACUCCUGGAAGUGCAAGGAUUUGACUUGAGCAGAUGAUAUUCUUAGGAGACAGUUGAUAUUACGUAAAUAACUUGGGGAACAUGUAGGAAUUCUCGUUGGACAAGAGAUUUGGAUUUAAGUAGCUGAUUCUAGUUGAGUAUAGAUGCUGAGUAAGUCUACAUGGUUCGGAGUAAAUUGGAUUUAGACUGAUGAUCUCGAUCAUGAUACCAUGUUUCUCGGUGGACGAUAAGCUAGGAGAUUGGACUAAUUUCGGAGUUUAUUUAGGCAUCUUUAUGAGCUUGACCUUAGAGUAUUACUAGAUCAUAAUAACGGGAAUCGGUGGACUAACUAUAGCAAAAAUAGCCCUUUCAAGUAUCUGGGGAUUAUAGGAACAUUAGGAGAUCAUGUGGAGCACCAUAGACAUUGGAUUUGUAGAAUUAAUGGAUUGUGUAGUAGUUAAUGGAAGUUAAUGGGCUAUUGGAGUUGAUUCAUAGGAAGGAAACAAGAUCUUGGAGUGGCUUACGACGUGUUUCCUUAGGAUAGAGAUGCUUUAUCGUGGACCUUGGAUCAACAGGCUGAGCACUUGGAUGGUGGAUAUUAAACCCAAGCUUGUAUGCUCUACCCAUGGGUUUUUAGGGGUAGCCAUACAUACGAGUUUGGGGAUUGUAGACAUAUAUGAUUUUGUUAGACCUCCUCUCGAGAGUCAUGAGGACAUGAAUAACAUGAGUGAUGAUUGGAGCUGGUCUACAAGAGUUGAUGCUUUCGGUGGUAUGAGGUUAUUUGUUUAAAGGACUAGAUAGAACAAUUGGCAUCUCAGGGACCGUGCUUAAGGAUAAAGAUGAUAAAUGUUCACUCGCACACUAGAAUCCUUGAAAACCCUUAAAGCCACAACACGGUCAGAUCCUGACCUUGGACUUUGGCUCUAGAUCGAUAGGACCUUGACCAAUGCUCAACCGUGACCCUCACCAAUGCCUCAGCCCACUCUACGUACCCCAAAUACUUCAUAAAAUAUUUGGGCAAGUGAAUCAUCAUCCUUACUUGAGGACAUGUGUGUCCACAUGAGGACGGAAGAAGAGAUGGUCAGCUGGUUAGGGAACAUCCGAAGACCGCCAUGUCAAGGAGGAAGAACAACCACCGUCUUCAAGAAGUAAACAUCCGCGUCGAAGACCAGGUGUAUCUGCAAGCCACUUCUCUCUAAGGAACCAAGCAUUUCCAUCACAAGGAGGUCCACACCAAGAUGUAUCAAGACCUAAAGGAAAGAUUCUGGUGGCACAGAUGAAAAGGGAGAUUGCCACCUAUGUUGCAAAGUGUGACAUAUGCCAGAGAGUCAAAAGCUGAGCAUCAGCGACCCGCGGGAUUGUUGCAACCCCUCAAGGUGCCUGAAUGGAAGUGGGACAAAAUCGGGAUGGACUUCAUCACCGGUUUACCCAGGUCAAGCAAGGGACAUGACUCCAUAUGGGUCAUUGUUGACCAUUUGACCAAGGUGGUCCACUUCAUUCCUGUCAAGACGACCUACAAGGGGAACCAGUUAGCCAGUCUUUACAUCAACCAAGUCGUGAGCAUUCAUGGCGUUCCCAAGGAAAUUGUGUCAGAUAGAGGAACCCAAUUCACCUCAAGGUUCUGGAAGAAGUUCCAGGAGGCCAUGGGGACCAAGUUGUCCUUCAGCACUGUUUUCCACCCACAGACCGGAGGUCAGACAGAACGAGUAAAUCAGAUACUCGAAGACAUGCUCCGAGCCUGUGUCUUAGCAUAUGGAGCUAAGUGGGAAGAUUGCCUCCCUUUCGCCGAGUUCUCUUACAACAACAGUAAUCAGUCAAGCCUUCAGAUGGCACCAUUUGAGGUGUUAUACGAACGGAAAUGCCGCACACCCCCCAAUUGGUCAGAAACCGGAGAAGGACUUGUCUUUGGGCCCGAUACCCUCCGUGAAGCCGAAGAGCAAGUCCAGCUUGUCAGAGAGCGUUUGAAGACUGCCAAGUCAAGACAAAAGAGCUAUGCUGACUCACGUCGUCGAGACAUGACCUUCCGGGUUGGAGACCAUGUUUAUCUCCGGGUCACCCCUCUCAAAGGAACCCAGCACUUCCGUGUCAAAGGAAAGCUCGCCCCAAGAUUCAUCGGCCUUCUUCGAGAUCACUCCAAGAUUUAACAACCCCCCCCUCCGAGAUCGCUACGAGAUGAAGAGAAGACAGUUACCAGCUGGAGUUACCACCGGACUCGCCCGCUGAGCACAAUGUUUUUCCACAAGACACAACUCCGAAAGUGUUUUCGACUUCCUAACUAGCCCAAUCACUGAUAAGGACACUAACCACCAAGCCAUCGACUCCCUAGCCCAACCUAACCUACCGCGAGCUACCCAUUAGUAACCUGGAUCAAGAAGAGCGUCAUGCAUGAAGCCACAUCAUCAAGUACUUCAAGCUCAAUGGAGCACUACAAGGAAGCAGAAGCAACAUGAAGACUUGAAGACUACCCCAGAUCCAAGUUUCUAUAUUCCUUUCCGCACCUAGUCUGGGAAUCUCGGGGACGAGAUUCUUGUAAGGGGGGUAGGUCUGUCACACCUUGAUUUUCAAGGCACAGCACUUAAGUCAAUAAUCAUGCUAAAAUGUGGUUUGACAAAAACUUUUGAGUGUUUUGUCUUUGCUUUGAUUGAAUGUUUGACUGCUAUUUGCAAGUGCUCUAAAAAUAAUAUAAAUCCUCCAACUCCUAUACUUCAUCUCCUUGCUCCAAAACCUUUUCCCAAUGAUCAUGCCAUGUGUAUAGAGCAAUAUAGUAUUUUCUUACAAAAAUAAUUUGGCCAAAAAGUAUUUUCAAAAAUUAGUUUUCCAAAAACCCCUGAAUUGAGGUUUGCACUGCAAGUACUUAAUUAAGGGUAGUAAAAAUCUUUAUAAAAAUAUAUUUGACUCCUAUUAGAUAUAGGAUACCCAGAAACCACAAAAAUAUAAUUUUAAAAGUUAUUUUCCUAUUUUAUUUAAAAGCUUUUUCUUAAGGCCAGAAAUGGUCUUUAAUAGGUAAAAAUUAUUUUUAUUGUUUUAAAAAUAUUUGACAAAAAUUAGGGAAACUCCGUGGAUACAUAUUUUCCAUAUAUAAGAGUUUCAACACAUGGUCAUGUUCAAAAUAUUGGUCAAAUCCCUCAAAAACCCUUUCUGGAUAUUUCAAGAUUUUGAAAUAUUUACAAAGGAAAUUUUCUCCAAAAAUUCCAAGAAAAUUCUAUCAUGUCACAUAUGACACAUUAGAUGAUCUUGCCAAGUCUCAUGACUUGGAGAACAAGAUAACAUCAUCAAAUCCCCUCAAAACCAUUUCUGUCCAUUUUGGAGUUUGAGCAACUUUACAUUGCCAAACAUGUCCAAAUAUUCUCAAACCUUGUGAACAUGCUCAAAUGAUCUAAUUAUUCAUCUAGACCAAGUGGCACAAGUUGAAGAACAAUUUAACUUGAUCAAAGUGCCCCAAAACCCUUCCUGUCCAGAACCAGAUUUUAACAACUCUACAUUGGAAACUUUCUCCCUUUGAUAUCAACUUUUGUGGACAUGUUCAUAUCCUCAAAUUAUGACACUACACAAAGUGGUGCAUCAAGGAGAAUUGAUUUGCAUGACUAAAUCUUGGAAAGUCCAUUUCUGGUGAUUUCUAGGGUUUACCAAAGUUGCAUUGUCAACUUUCUUCAAAUGAGCUCCAAAUUGGUGGAAGGCCCUAAUUAUAUGUGUCUUUGCACCCUAUGGAGUCUCAUGGCAGAUGGAGAUCAUCUACUUGCCCAAACCAAUAUCAAACACCUUCUGCAACUUUACCAAAAUGUCAUUUUUGACCCCUUCCACUAUUCUCCAUGAGCUCAUCUUUUUACCACAGCCCCUCCUAGUUCCCUUGCACGUCCAGUAGAAAUGGUAAAUCCAUAGAUCAAUUAUUGGAGGGGUAAAACCCAACUUUCCCUCUCUGAACAACCCUUUUCUCUCUCUCCCUCAACCUCUCUCCUCUCCUAGUGGUUCACCAGGGCAUCCAAGGCCACCUCCCCUUUGUUUACUCGCCCCACAAAGCCCCAGACACUAGUGGACACGCCCCUGGCACAUAAACAAUGACAUGGCAUGCAGAGCUCGCGCUCUGGAGCAUGCCACAAUGCUCUUCUGCACUGUAGCACGCCCAUUCCAAGGCCUCCCGUCGACCUUGGGCGCCGGAAUCGUGUCCGCCGAGGCUGCCGAGGCGUCCACGACACGCAACAUUGUCGGCCCUUUCCUCGCUCGCCCUCCUUAUCCCUCCACGAGCUCACCCGAGCACGUCCAUGGACGCUGCCCAUGGUGCACCGGUGCGCCCCCUAUAUAGAGCCUUCCCCCGAGCUCUCCUCUCCUCCUUUGGACCCCUCUCUCUCCUGUGCACCUCCUAGACAGCCUUCCCCUCCCUCUAGUGCUCUCCUGCCCUCUCCAUGGCCGGAGUGCCGCCGCGGACCGGCGCUCGGAUUCGGGCGCCGCAGCCCCUCUCUCUUCCCCAUGAACACUCCCGCACCCUCUCAUCACCACCACCAACUCGCCCCGUGCUCCAUCCCCUCCUCCUCGUGCCUUCCUCGCCAUGCUGAACCCCGCCAUCGCCUGUUCCUGCCGCGGCCGAGGCCUCGCUCGCUCUGGCGCUCCUCGGCAGAAGCUGGGUCCCCAGGUGGAUGCGGCCCAUCCUCCCGAGCUCGCCGGAAUCCGGGCGGUCGCCGGAGGUGGCGGGAGGAGGGCGACGACCCUGCGGGUGGACCCCGCAGGUUAGUGACCGGCCAGCGGGCCCCUCCCGUUUAAGUGGAAGCGUACCAGCCUCUUCCCCGCUUCCCAGCGGCGAAGGCACCCUGAUGGAAUACGCCUUCGACGUCGCCCCUGGCACCCGCGCAGCCGAGCCGCUGGGCCGGCCCACUGCUAUCCUUCGCCUGGUGCGCACGAUAAGGGUAAUGCCUUAUAAUUCUUUUUAUUCUUCUCCAGUGAGAUUGUAAAAUCCAUAGAUUAUUUAUUCUAAGUCCAAAUUUGAUGAUUCUAAUUUCUAUAAGUUCAUAAAUUCCUGAUUUAUCACAUGGUGCAAUUUGCAGAUUUUUCCAUAGAGGUUUUCUUCACAGACAAUUAUCAAAUCCCAAUUUUCUUAAUUCUGUGAUAAACCUUAGAAAAUCACAGAGAGCUCAAUAUUGAUCCAAAUGCCAUGAUUCAAAUUCCUAGAUGCAUCUAAGUUCAAAACUUAGUUUUUGAACACUUUUACUAAUACUUUCUGUGUCACCUCAACUAAUGGUCUAUUUCUUUGUAUAUAGCAAACUUUGCAAAUUCAUAGGAAAAUCAUCUCAACUCCAAAUCCAGUGAAACCAAUUCCUAGAUGCUUCUAAAAUCAUCCUUUGUUAAAUGGGUGCCUUUGCUCAUUUUUCAAAAAUAUAUUUCUGUACACUUCUUGCAAAUCCAUAAACCCCUUGAUUCCACCAUAUCAAAAUGUUCAUAGAUAUCCAUUCAUCAAAUUCCAAUGAAACCACUUUUGUCAUCCCUCAUAUGACCAGAGGUAUCCUAGAAAAGUCCAACUCAUAUUUUUAGAGCACUUUUAUUUCCUGCCUUGUUGUGUUGCUUAUUAUGCUUGCUUUCAACGAUAGUUGACGAAGUAGACGGAAUGCUCGGAGUUGGACCAGGGAUAUUUGAAGACCUCGAAGACUUCGUUACAACAGGCAAGCACCCCUUUGACCAU
rnacentral:lncRNA from 1 species